rnacentral:rRNA from 1 species
AUUGAACGCUGGCGGCAGGCUUAACACAUGCAAGUCGAGCGAGCGGCGGACGGGUGAGUAAUGUCUGGGAAACUGCCUGAUGGAGGGGGAUAACUACUGGAAACGGUAGCUAAUACCGCAUACCAUAAGAUGGGCCCAAUUGGGAUUAGCUAGUAGGUGGGGUAAUGGCUCACCUAGCCGACGAUCCCUAGCUGGUCUGAGAGGAUGACCAGCCACACUGGAACUGAGACACGGCCCAGACUCCUACGGGAGGCAGCAGUGGGGAAUAUUGCACAAUGGGCGCAACCCUGACGCAGCCAUGCCGCGUGAAUGAAGAAGGCCUUCGGGUUGUAAAGUUCUUUCGGUAGCGAGGCGUUAACUACAGAAGAAGCACCGGCUAACUCCGUGCCAGCAGCCGCGGUAAUAC